ACCUGCCUGGUAGCGGGGGAUAACUAUUGGAAACGAUAGCUAAUACCGCAUAAGAGUAGAUGUGCAUGACAUUUGCUUAAAAGGUGCAAUUGCAUCACUACCAGAUGGACCUGCGUUGUAUUAGCUAGUUGGUGGGGUAACGGCUCACCAAGGCGACGAUACAUAGCCGACCUGAGAGGGUGAUCGGCCACACUGGGACUGAGACACGGCCAG
rnacentral:rRNA from 1 species